rnacentral:misc_RNA from 1 species
AUGAGCUUGAGCUUCAGAGCUUCCACAGUUUGUUUCUUGUACAUAAAUACAUAAUCCAUAUAGACAAUUUGCAGUUGUUGAUGUCACUAAAGUGGGGUUGUGCAUAGAAGUGGACAGUAGGAUUACCAAAAAGAACUGUGGAAGCUCAAGACCAUAUAUGCGAAUGGGAUUUGUGGGAAUAUACACAAGUGGACAAGGUGCCAUAAUGGUGUUCUGUUUUAACUAGGUGAUAAUAAUACAUUCACAAGUGUUUGUUGUGUCAUAUGUCGAACUUUCAAAGGCAGAGAGAUGACAUAUAAUAGUAGGGGGCAUAAUUACUGAG